rnacentral:rRNA from 1 species
AAUCAACGCUGGCGGCGUGCCUCAGACAUGCAAGUCGAACGCGAAAGUCCCCCUCGGGGGGACAAGUAGAGUGGCGCACGGGUGAGUAACACGUAGGUAAUCUACCUUCGGGUGGGGAAUAACAAUCGGAAACGGUUGCUAAUACCGCAUAAUGCAGCGGCACCUAAUGGUGACAGUUGUUAAAGCGGGGGAUCGCAAGAUCUCGCGCCUGAAGAGGAGCCUGCGGCGGAUUAGCUAGUUGGUAGGGUAAUGGCCUACCAAGGCGACGAUCCGUAGCCGGCCUGAGAGGGCGGUCGGCCACACUGACACUGACAUACGGGUCAGACUCCUACGGGAGGCAGCAGUCGGGAAUUUUGGG